AGCAGUCGCCACGGGAAUACGUAGGGUGCAAGCGUUAAUCGGAAUUACUGGGCGUAAAGCGUGCGCAGGCGGUUAUAUAAGACAGAUGUGAAAUCCCCGGGCUCAACCUGGGAACUGCAUUUGUGACUGUAUAGCUAGAGUACGGCAGAGGGGGAUGGAAUUCCGCGUGUAGCAGUGAAAUGCGUAGAUAUGCGGAGGAACACCGAUGGCGAAGGCAAUCCCCUGGGCCUGUACUGACGCUCAUGCACGAAAGCGUGGGGAGCAAACAGGAUUAGAUACCCCAGUAGUCCCUGUCUCUUAUAC
rnacentral:rRNA from 1 species